rnacentral:rRNA from 1 species
GACGAACGCUGGCGGCGUGCUUAACACAUGCAAGUCGUACGGUAAGGCCCUUUCGGGGGUACACGCGUGGCGAACGGGCGAGUAACACGUGCGUAACCUGCCCACAACUUUGGGAGAACGCUCGGCAACUGGUGCUAAUACUGGAUAUGUGGUCCUUCUGCAUGGUGGGGGUUGGAAAGCUCGCGCGGGUGUGGGUGGACUCACGGCCUAUUUGUCUGGUGGUGGGGUAGGGGGCUGCCUAGGCGGCGACGGGUAGCCGGCCUGGGGGGGUGACCGGCCACAUUGGGGCUUGGGUACGGCCCCGGCCCCUACGGGGGGGAGCAGUGGGGAAAUUUGCACAAUGGGGGCGAGCCUGGUGCAGCAACGCCGCGGGCGGGAUGACGGCCUUCGGGUUGUAAACCGCUUUCAGCAGGGACGAAGCUUUUUGUGACGGUACCUGCAGAAGAAGCACCGGCUAACUACGUG